rnacentral:lncRNA from 1 species
GAGAAAAAUUUAAGAAGAAAAUUUUCAAAACUUUGAGCUCUUCCUCAUCUCACCUACUUUUAAAAGAACAGAGUUGGAGGGAAUCAUUGCUGUGAGAAGCUGACAGUGGUGGAUGACAAGCUUGAAUUUCCAGAGGAAAUAGCAUGUCUGUGAAACUCACCCAUGCCAUCUGGAAAGGAAAAAGUUAAGUUGCAUUUCUGCAAUACAUUCUCUCCCUUCCCUGAGCUGCUCCUGGAAUAUAAAGAAAGCAAGUGAGUUGAACUAAUCCUCUUAUAAACAUACUAAUGAUAAAUCUCCC